rnacentral:rRNA from 1 species
UGGGGAAUUUUCCGCAAUGGGCGAAAGCCUGACGGAGCAAUACCGCGUGAGGGAGGAAUGCCUUUGGGUUGUAAACCUCUUUUCUCAGGGAAGAAGAUCUGACGGUACCUGAGGAAUAAGUAUCGGCUAACUCCGUGCCAGCAGCCGCGGUAAUACGGAGGAUGCAAGCGUUAUCCGGAAUCAUUGGGCGUAAGCGUCCGCAGGUGGUUUCCAAAGUCUGCUGUUAAAGACUGGAGCUCAACUCCGGAACGGCGGUGGAAACUUGGAAACUAGAGUUCGGUAGGGGUAGCAGGAAUUCCCAGUGUAGCGGUGAAAUGCGUAGAUAUUGGGAAGAACAUCGGUGGCGAAGGCGUGCUACUGGACCGUAACUGACACUCAGGGACGAAAGCUAGGGGAGCGAAAGGGAUUAGAUACCCCUGUAGUCCUAGCUGUAAACGAUGGAAACUAGGUGUGGCU